rnacentral:rRNA from 2 species
CUGGUGUCAGCCGCCGCGGUAAUACCAGCACCCCGAGUGGUCGGGACGAUUAUUGGGCCUAAAGCAUCCGUAGCCGGUUCUACAAGUCUUCCGUUAAAUCCACCUGCUUAACAGAUGGGCUGCGGAGGAUACUAUGGAGCUAGGAGGCGGGAGAGGCAAGCGGUACUCAGUGGGUAGGGGUAAAAUCCGUUGAUCCAUUGAAGACCACCAGUGGCGAAGGCGGCUUGCCAGAACGCACUCGACGGUGAGGGAUGAAAGCUGGGGGAGCAAACCGGAUUAGAUACCCGGGUAGUCCCAGCUGUAAACGAUGCAGACUCGGUGAUGAAUAGGCUUCGUGCCUAUUCAGUGCCGCAGGGAAGCCGUUAAGUCUGCCGCCUGGGGAGUACGGUCGCAAGACUGAAACUUAAAG